GCUGGAGAUGGGCUAAGGCUAAUACCUACCUCUAUAAGUCUAAAACUCUGUCUGUCAGUCUCAAAAUGCAUCCCUCAACCUCCUCAAGUCGUACGGACUGAGCUAUAAGCAUCUGAAAGAUGGUAGAGACAUGAGAGAUUAAAGUCUGGUCUGAGUCAGCCUGAGAUGUCGACCUCUGAGUAAAGAUUGAGGUGGCAAACUGCUGGGAUAAAAUGGAAGCAACCUGCUGGG
rnacentral:lncRNA from 1 species